GACGAACGCUGGCGGCGUGCCUAAUACAUGCAAGUCGAGCGAGCGGAACUAACAGAUUUACCUCGGUAAUGACGUUAGGAAAGCGAGCGGCGGAUGGGUGAGUAACACGUGGGGAACCUGCCCCAUAGUCUGGGAUACCACUUGGAAACAGGUGCUAAUACCGGAUAAGAAAGCAGAUCGCAUGAUCAGCUUUUAAAAGGCGGCGUAAGCUGUCGCUAUGGGAUGGCCCCGCGGUGCAUUAGCUAGUUGGUAAGGUAAAGGCUUACCAAGGCGAUGAUGCAUAGCCGAGUUGAGGGACUGAUCGGCCACAUUGGGACUGAGACACGGCCCAAACUCCUACGGGAGGCAGCAGUAGGGAAUCUUCCACAAUGGACGCAAGUCUGAUGGAGCAACGCCGCGUGAGUGAAGAAGGUUUUCGGAUCGUAAAGCUCUGUUGUUGGUGAAGAAGGAUAGAGGUAGUAACUGGCCUUUAUUUGACGGUAAUCAACCAGAAAGUCACGGCUAACUACGUG
rnacentral:rRNA from 1 species